rnacentral:rRNA from 1 species
CCUACGGGAGGCAGCAGUGGGGAAUAUUGCACAAUGGGGGAAACCCUGAUGCAGCGAAGCCGCGUGAGCGAAGAAGUAUUUCGGUAUGUAAAGCUCUAUCAGCAGGAACGAGACAAGACGGUACCUGACUAAGAAGCCCCGGCUAACUACGUGCCAGCAGCCGCGGUAAUACGUAGGGGGCAAGCGUUAUCCGGAACCACUGGGUGUAAGGGGAGCGUAGAGGGCGGAGCAAGCCUGAAGUGAAAGGCGGGGGCCCAACCCCCGGACUGCUUUGGGAACUGUACGGCUGGAGUGCAGGAGAGGUAAGUGGAAUUCCUAGUGUAGCGGUGAAAUGCGUAGAUAUUAGGAGGAACACCAGUGGCGAAGGCGGCUUACUGGACUGUAACUGACGUUGAGGCUCGAAAGCGUGGGGAGCAAACAGGAUUAGAUACCCUGGUAGUC